CCUACGGGGGGCAGCAGUGGGGAAUAUUGCGCAAUGGGCGAAAGCCUGACGCAGCGACGCCGCGUGAGGGAUGAAGGUCUUCGGAUCGUAAACCUCUGUCAGCAGGGAAGAACGGUCACUGUGCUAAUCAGCAGUGAAUUGACGGUACCUGCAAAGGAAGCACCGGCUAACUCCGUGCCAGCAGCCGCGGUAAUACGGAGGGUGCGAGCGUUAAUCGGAAUGACUGGGCGUAAAGCGCUCGUAGGCGGUAUGUCAAGUCAAGGGUGAAAUCCCCGCGCUCAACGUGGGAACUGCCUUUGAAACUGGCAAACUGGAGUGUAGGAGAGGAAAGUGGAAUUCCAGGUGUAGGGGUGAAAUCCGUAGAUAUCUGGAGGAACAUCAGUGGCGAAGGCGACUAUCUGGCACAUAACUGACGCUGAGGAGCGAAAGCGUGGGUAGCAAACAGGAUUAGAUACCCCAGUAGUC
rnacentral:rRNA from 1 species